UAGGGAAUCUUCGGCAAUGGACGGAAGUCUGACCGAGCAACGCCGCGUGAGUGAAGAAGGUUUUCGGAUCGUAAAGCUCUGUUGUAAGAGAAGAACGAGUGUGAGAGUGGAAAGUUCACACUGUGACGGUAUCUUACCAGAAAGGGACGGCUAACUACGUGCCAGCAGCCGCGGUAAUACGUAGGUCCCGAGCGUUGUCCGGAUUUAUUGGGCGUAAAGCGAGCGCAGGCGGUUAGAUAAGUCUGAAGUUAAAGGCUGUGGCUUAACCAUAGUAGGCUUUGGAAACUGUUUAACUUGAGUGCAAGAGGGGAGAGUGGAAUUCCAUGUGUAGCGGUGAAAUGCGUAGAUAUAUGGAGGAACACCGGUGGCGAAAGCGGCUUUCUGGCUUGUAACUGACGCUGAGGCUCGAAAGCGUGGGGAGCAAACAGGAUUAGAUACCCUGGUAGUCCACGCCGUAAACGAUGAGUGCUAGGUGUUAGACCCUUUCCGGGGUUUAGUGCCGUAGCUAACGCAUUAAGCACUCCGCCUGGGGAGUACGACCGCAAGGUU
rnacentral:rRNA from 1 species